rnacentral:rRNA from 1 species
CCUACGUGAGGCAGCAGUGAGGAAUAUUGGUCAAUGGUCGGGAGACUGAACCAGCCAAGCCGCGUGAGGGAUGAAGGUACAGAGUAUCGUAAACCUCUUUUGUCAGGGAACAAAGGCGGGGACGUGUCCCCGGAUGAGUGUACCUGAAGAAAAAGCAUCGGCUAACUCCGUGCCAGCAGCCGCGGUAAUACGGAGGAUGCGAGCGGUAUCCGGAUUUAUUGGGUUAAAAGGGUGCGCAGGCGGUCUGUUAAGUCAGCGGUCAAAGCCCGGGGCUCAACCCCGGCCCGCCGUUGAAACUGGCAGUAUCGAGUUGGAGAGAAGUAUGCGGAAUGCGCGGUGUAGCGGUGAAAUGCAUAGAUAUCGCGCAGAACUCCGAUUGCGAAGGCAGCAUGCCGGCUCCACACUGACGCUGAGGCACGAAAGCGUGGGUAUCGAACAGGAUUAGAUACCCGAGUAGUC